AGAGUUUGAUCAUGGCUCAGAUUGAACGCUGGCGGCAGGCCUAACACAUGCAAGUCGAGCGGUAGCACAGAGAGCUUGCUCUCGGGUGACGAGCGGCGGACGGGUGAGUAAUGUCUGGGAAACUGCCUGAUGGAGGGGGAUAACUACUGGAAACGGUAGCUAAUACCGCAUAAUGUCGCAAGACCAAAGUGGGGGACCUUCGGGCCUCAUGCCAUCAGAUGUGCCCAGAUGGGAUUAGCUAGUAGGUGGGGUAACGGCUCACCUAGGCGACGAUCCCUAGCUGGUCUGAGAGGAUGACCAGCCACACUGGAACUGAGACACGGUCCAGACUCCUACGGGAGGCAGCAGUGGGGAAUAUUGCACAAUGGGCGCAAGCCUGAUGCAGCCAUGCCGCGUGUGUGAAGAAGGCCUUCGGGUUGUAAAGCACUUUCAGCGGGGAGGAAGGCGAUAAGGUUAAUAACCUUGGCGAUUGACGUUACCCGCAGAAGAAGCACCGGCUAACUCCGUGCCAGCAGCCGCGGUAAUACGGAGGGUGCAAGCGUUAAUCGGAAUUACUGGGCGUAAAGCGCACGCAGGCGGUCUGUCAAGUCGGAUGUGAAAUCCCCGGGCUCAACCUGGGAACUGCAUUCGAAACUGGCAGGCUAGAGUCUUGUAGAGGGGGGUAGAAUUCCAGGUGUAGCGGUGAAAUGCGUAGAGAUCUGGAGGAAUACCGGUGGCGAAGGCGGCCCCCUGGACAAAGACUGACGCUCAGGUGCGAAAGCGUGGGGAGCAAACAGGAUUAGAUACCCUGGUAGUCCACGCCGUAAACGAUGUCGAUUUGGAGGUUGUGCCCUUGAGGCGUGGCUUCCGGAGCUAACGCGUUAAAUCGACCGCCUGGGGAGUACGGCCGCAAGGUUAAAACUCAAAUGAAUUGACGGGGGCCCGCACAAGCGGUGGAGCAUGUGGUUUAAUUCGAUGCAACGCGAAGAACCUUACCUGGUCUUGACAUCCACAGAACUUAGCAGAGAUGCUUUGGUGCCUUCGGGAACUGUGAGACAGGUGCUGCAUGGCUGUCGUCAGCUCGUGUUGUGAAAUGUUGGGUUAAGUCCCGCAACGAGCGCAACCCUUAUCCUUUGUUGCCAGCGGUCCGGCCGGGAACUCAAAGGAGACUGCCAGUGAUAAACUGGAGGAAGGUGGGGAUGACGUCAAGUCAUCAUGGCCCUUACGACCAGGGCUACACACGUGCUACAAUGGCAUAUACAAAGAGAAGCGACCUCGCGAGAGCAAGCGGACCUCAUAAAGUAUGUCGUAGUCCGGAUUGGAGUCUGCAACUCGACUCCAUGAAGUCGGAAUCGCUAGUAAUCGUAGAUCAGAAUGCUACGGUGAAUACGUUCCCGGGCCUUGUACACACCGCCCGUCACACCAUGGGAGUGGGUUGCAAAAGAAGUAGGUAGCUUAACCUUCGGGAGGGCGCUUACCACUUUGUGAUUCAUGACUGGGGUGAAGUCGUAACAAGGUAACCGUAGGGGAACCUGCGGUUG
rnacentral:rRNA from 1 species